UGGCUCUCGCAUCGAUGAAGAACGCAGCAAAGCGCGAAAUGUAAUGUGAAUUGCAGAAUUCAGUGAAUCAUCGAAUCUUUGAACGCAUCUUGCGCUCCCGGGUCAUUCCUGGGAGCAUGCUUGUUUGAGUGUCGCGUACCUUCUCAACCCCGCCCUUUUAACCGAGGGUAGCAGGGCUUGGAUCAUGGCGCCCUGUCGCUCUGGCCUCUAUCUGGUCGAGGGACUGCGCUGAAAAGCAAAAAGCUGAAUCCUUAACUUGGCGGCUUGACCUGUUGUCGUAAGUCUUAUACUUUCAAUGGGGACGCUGGUUGGAACGGGCUUACCACAAAGCGACCUUUCGAGGACGCAUUCUUGACACUUUGACCUCAAAUCAAGUAGGACUACCCGCUGA
rnacentral:misc_RNA from 1 species